rnacentral:rRNA from 1 species
AUGGAUGAGGCUAUUAUAUGCCACAUUAUUAGGUACGACACCAUUACCAAUCAUCUGACGAAGGAAAUACUCUGCUUUGUCCAUUGCUCUGGCCUUGCACAGCGCAUCAAUAACCGAGCUAUAUGUCACCACAUCGGGCAUAACGCCCUGCUGUGCCAUUCCAUGGAACAGAUCGCACGCCUUGCCUACUUGGCCUUCCCUAAAGAAGCCAUGGAUGACGGUGUUAUAUGCCACCACAUCGGGAGUGCAGCCCAGCUCAGGCAUCCUGUGAAGCAGCACGUCCAGAGCCUCAUCUGUGCGCUUUGCGUGGCAGAGUCCCUUGAGGAGGGUGCAGAAGAUGACUUGGUUUGCCUCCAGGCCCGUCCUGAAGAGACGGCCGAAGAAAGCGAGCGCCAGAUCCGGGCGGCACGCGCGGCAGCAACAGUCCAUGAGGAUGCGGAAAAAGAUCCAAAUCUAAAAUGCAAAGGUCGUCUUAUUCAAAACCUCAAUCAUCACAUCCCCUCUCUCCCACUUCACACCUCAGAACGCACUGUUCUUAUAGAGAGAAAGGCGCUUUCCCAUCUUCUUAACCUGAAAUGA